GGAUGCGAUCAUACCAGCACUAAAGCACCGGAUCCCCUCAG
rnacentral:rRNA from 1 species